AUUCGAUUAGAGUUUGAUCCUGGCUCAGAACGAACGCUGGCGGCAGGCCUAACACAUGCAAGUCGAGCGCGCCUUCGGGUGAGCGGCGGACGGGUUAGUAACGCGUGGGAACGUGCCCUUCUCUACGGAAUAGCCUCUGGAAACGGAGAGUAAUACCGUAUACGCCCUUUGGGGGAAAGAUUUAUCGGAGAAGGAUCGGCCUGCGUUAGAUUAGGUAGUUGGUGGGGUAACGGCCUACCAAGCCUACGAUCUAUAGCUGGUUUUAGAGGAUGAUCAGCAACACUGGGACUGAGACACGGCCCAGACUCCUACGGGAGGCAGCAGUGGGGAAUCUUAGACAAUGGGGGCAACCCUGAUCUAGCCAUGCCGCGUGAGUGGUGAAGGCCUUAGGGUCGUAAAGCUCUUUCGCCUGUGAUGAUAAUGACAGUAGCAGGUAAAGAAACCCCGGCUAACUCCGUGCCAGCAGCCGCGGUAAUACGGAGGGGGUUAGCGUUGUUCGGAAUUACUGGGCGUAAAGCGCGCGUAGGCGGAUUAGAAAGUUGGGGGUGAAAUCCCGGGGCUCAACCUCGGAACUGCCUCCAAAACUGCUAGUCUAGAGUUCGAGAGAGGUGAGUGGAAUUCCGAGUGUAGAGGUGAAAUUCGUAGAUAUUCGGAGGAACACCAGUGGCGAAGGCGGCUCACUGGCUCGAUACUGACGCUGAGGUGCGAAAGUGUGGGGAGCAAACAGGGAUUAGAUACCCUGGUAGUCCACACCGUAAACGAUGAAUGCCAGUCGUCGGGUAGUAUACUAUUCGGUGACACACCUAACGGAUUAAGCAUUCCGCCUGGGGAGUACGGUCGCAAGAUUAAAACUCAAAGAAUUGACGGGGGGCCCGCACAAAGCGGUGGAGCAUGUGGUUUAAUUUCGAAGCAACGCGCAGAACCUUUACCAACCCUUGACACCCUGUGCUACAUCCAGAGAUGGAUGGUUCCCUUCGGGGAA
rnacentral:rRNA from 1 species